rnacentral:rRNA from 1 species
UACGAGUGCCCCGAGCGUUAUCCGGAAUCAUUGGGCGUAAAGGGUGUGUAGGUGGCAGUGUUAGUCGUCUGUUAAAACCUGGGGCUCAACCCCAGACCGGCGGGCGAAACGGCACAGCUAGAGGAUGGCAGGGAUGUAUGGAACUCAUGGAGUAGGGGUGAAAUCCGUUGAUAUCAUGGGGAACACCAAAAGCGAAAGCAGUACAUUGGGCCACUCCUGACACUGAAACACGAAAGCGUGGGUAGCGAAUGGG